rnacentral:piRNA from 1 species
UGGCAGCUCACACACUACUGCCCUUA